UGGGGAAUAUUGCACAAUGGGCGAAAGCCUGAUGCAGCGACGCCGCGUGCGGGAUGAAGGCCUUCGGGUUGUAAACCGCUUUUAAUUGGGAGCAAGCGAGAGUGAGUGUACCUUUUGAAUAAGCACCGGCUAACUACGUGCCAGCAGCCGCGGUAAUACGUAGGGUGCAAGCGUUAUCCGGAAUUAUUGGGCGUAAAGAGCUCGUAGGCGGUUUGUCACGCCUGGUGUGAAAGUCCAUCGCUUAACGGUGGAUCUGCGCCGGGUACGGGCAGGCUAGAGUGCAGUAGGGGAGAUUGGAAUUCCCGGUGUAACGGUGGAAUGUGUAGAUAUCGGGAAGAACACCAAUGGCGAAGGCAGAUCUCUGGGCUGUUACUGACGCUGAGGAGCGAAAGCAUGGGGAGCGAACAGGAUUAGAUACCCUGGUAGUCCAUGCCGUAAACGGUGGAUGCUGGAUGUGGGGCCCUUCCACGGGCUCCGUGUCGGAGCUAACGCGUUAAGCAUCCCGCCUGGGGAGUACGGCCGCAAGGCUAAAACUCUAAAGUGAA
rnacentral:rRNA from 1 species